GACGAACGCUGGCGGCGUGCUUAACACAUGCAAGUCGAACGGAAAGGCCCUGCUUUUGUGGGGUGCUCGAGUGGCGAACGGGUGAGUAACACGUGAGUAACCUGCCCUUGACUUUGGGAUAACUUCAGGAAACUGGGGCUAAUACCGGAUAGGAUCUCCUGCUGCAUGGUGGGGGUUGGAAAGUUUCGGCGGUUGUGGAUGUACUCGCGGCUUAUCAGCUUGUUGGUGGGGUAGUGGCUUACCAAGGCUUUGACGGGUAGCCGGCCUGAGAGGGUGACCGGCCACAUUGGGACUGAGAUACGGCCCAGACGCCUACGGGAGGCAGCAGUGGGGAAUAUUGCACAAUGGGCGGAAGCCUGAUGCAGAAACGCCGCGUGCGGGAUGACGGCCUUCGGGUUGUAAACAGCUGUCGACUGUGACGAAGCGUGAGUGACGGUAAUGGGUAAAGAAGCACCGGCUAACUACGUG
rnacentral:rRNA from 1 species